rnacentral:rRNA from 1 species
AUACGUAGGGGGCAAGCGUUGUCCGGAAUGAUUGGGCGUAAAGGGCGCGUAGGCGGCCUGUUAAGUCUGGAGUGAAAGUCCUGCUUUUAAGGUGGGAAUUGCUUUGGAAACUGGCGGGCGGGAGUGCAGGAGAGGUUAGUGGAAUUCCCGGUGUAGCGGUGAAAUGCGUAGAGAUCGGGAGGAACACCAGUGGCGAAGGCGACUAACUGGACUGUAACUGACGCUGAAGCGCGAAAGUGUGGGGAGC